ensembl:misc_RNA Metazoa_SRP Metazoan signal recognition particle RNA
GCUGGGCAUGGUGGCGUGUGCCUGUAAUCCCAGGUACUUGGGAGGCUGAGGCAGGAGAAUUGCUUGAACCCAGGAGGCAUAGAUUGCAGUGAGCCAAGAUUGCACCACUGCACUACAGCCUGGGUGACAGUGCAAGACUCUGUCUCAA